rnacentral:miRNA from 1 species
GGUCUCGCUAUACAGUUCAGGCUGGCCUUGAGUUCACUUUGUAGCCCAGGCUGGCCUCGAACUCACAACAAUUCUCCUGCCUCAGCCUCCCGAGUGCUGGGAGUACAGGCAUGAGCCACCAUGCCCG